AAAGCCUUAGCUUAAUUAAAGUCUCUGUUUUGCAUGCAGAAGAUGUGGGAUAAUCCCCCGCAGGUUUUA
rnacentral:tRNA from 1 species